rnacentral:ncRNA from 2 species
CUCUCCGAGGAGCGUUGCGACCCCGCACCUGAUGCUUCAUGCAUGGCCAGCUAAAGGCAACGUUGCAUGAAGCAUCAGGUGCGGGGCCAGGCUCGGAGGGAACGUCAGUUAAAACAACGGCGCUCGCUCAAU